CGGCCACGGACAACUCUACUCCGAACUUUGUUCGGACUUCAUUAGUGUCUGAGCUUCUCCGACAAUGGGAUUUCUACAGUAACCAGACUCUAUCCAAGUUUCUACGGUGGUCGACCACCUUCCGGAUUCCAGUCGAACUCCCACAGUGGAGGGAUCCCAGAUGAAUGUCGACAACGGAAGGGCUCCGCCAGCCAGAUCUCUACUCCUAACUUCUACUGCAAACGGUCUACUCUAGAUCUUUACUGUAAGUGAAUUCCAUCCGAGCCUUUACUGUAAAUGAAUUCCAUCCG
rnacentral:lncRNA from 1 species